GCUGGGCAUAGGCAGUAAUAUAAGGCAAGAUGGCUAAGGAAGAAGGUGGGCAGCGGAGCCGGUGAAGGAAGCCGCAGGCGCGGAUGGAGGCGAAGAGAUCAGGAGCAGUAAAGGAACACUCUCUUCCCCAGUCAGCUGGGAUACGGAUUUUGUAAGGCCUAGGGACUUUGUCUUUGGAGGUCCUGUCUCCAUAAGAAAUUAGAAGAUUUUUGUGGAGCUCCCCUUUUCUGCAAAGGAUCGUGGGUCCUAGGCACUAUCGUACUGCAUCUAAUGGAGAAGUCACCCUUGUCCCCAAAAGAAUGGCAUCUUGUUUGUUUCCUCCUAUAAAUAAAUUUAUCCCUGAUUUCCAAGAACUCAUAACCUAGAUCAUCUCUGAUUUCACAUUUCCUGCUGCUCUUAUAGCUGCCCCCUGCUCAGGAAGAUAAAUAAAUAAAUAAAUAAGACAUAGGA
rnacentral:lncRNA from 1 species